rnacentral:rRNA from 1 species
GGGUUGUGAGGUUAAGCGACUAAGCGUACACGGUGGAUGCCCUGGCAGUCAGAGGCGAUGAAGGACGUGCUAAUCUGCGAUAAGCGUCGGUAAGGUGAUAUGAACCGUUAUAACCGGCGAUUUCCGAAUGGGGAAACCCAGUGUGAUUCGUCACACUAUCAUUAACUGAAUCCAUAGGUUAAUGAGGCGAACCGGGGGAACUGAAACAUCUAAGUACCCCGAGGAAAAGAAAUCAACCGAGAUUCCCCCAGUAGCGGCGAGCGAACGGGGAGCAGCCCAGAGCCUGAAUCAGUGUGUGUGUUAGUGGAAGCGUCUGGAAAGGCGCGCGAUACAGGGUGACAGCCCCGUACACAAAAAUGCACAUACUGUGAGCUCGAUGAGUAAGGCGUGUGACUGCGUACCUUUUGUAUAAUGGGUCAGCGACUUAUAUUCUGUAGCAAGGUUAACCGAAUAGGGGAGCCGAAGGGAAACCGAGUCUUAACUGGGCGUUAAGUUGCAGGGUAUAGACCCGAAACCCGGUGAUCUAGCCAUGGGCAGGUUGAAGGUUGGGUAACACUAACUGGAGGACCGAACCGACUAAUGUUGAAAAAUUAGCGGAUGACUUGUGGCUGGGGGUGAAAGGCCAAUCAAACCGGGAGAUAGCUGGUUCUCCCCGAAAGCUAUUUAGGUAGCGCCUCGUGAAUUCAUCUCCGGGGGUAGAGCACUGUUUCGGCAAGGGGGUCAUCCCGACUUACCAACCCGAUGCAAACUGCGAAUACCGGAGAAUGUUAUCACGGGAGACACACGGCGGGUGCUAACGUCCGUCGUGAAGAGGGAAACAACCCAGACCGCCAGCUAAGGUCCCAAAGUCAUGGUUAAGUGGGAAACGAUGUGGGAAGGCCCAGACAGCCAGGAUGUUGGCUUAGAAGCAGCCAUCAUUUAAAGAAAGCGUAAUAGCUCACUGGUCGAGUCGGCCUGCGCGGAAGAUGUAACGGGGCUAAACCAUGCACCGAAGCUGCGGCAGCGACGCUGAUGCGUUGUUGGGUAGGGGAGCGUUCUGUAAGCCUGUGAAGGUGUGCUGUGAGGCAUGCUGGAGGUAUCAGAAGUGCGAAUGCUGACAUAAGUAACGAUAAAGCGGGUGAAAAGCCCGCUCGCCGGAAGACCAAGGGUUCCUGUCCAACGUUAAUCGGGGCAGGGUGAGUCGACCCCUAAGGCGAGGCCGAAAGGCGUAGUCGAUGGGAAACAGGUUAAUAUUCCUGUACUUGGUGUUACUGCGAAGGGGGGACGGAGAAGGCUAUGUUGGCCGGGCGACGGUUGUCCCGGUUUAAGCGUGUAGGCUGGUUUUCCAGGCAAAUCCGGAAAAUCAAGGCUGAGGCGUGAUGACGAGGCACUACGGUGCUGAAGCAACAAAUGCCCUGCUUCCAGGAAAAGCCUCUAAGCAUCAGGUAACAUCAAAUCGUACCCCAAACCGACACAGGUGGUCAGGUAGAGAAUACCAAGGCGCUUGAGAGAACUCGGGUGAAGGAACUAGGCAAAAUGGUGCCGUAACUUCGGGAGAAGGCACGCUGAUAUGUAGGUGAAGUCCCUCGCGGAUGGAGCUGAAAUCAGUCGAAGAUACCAGCUGGCUGCAACUGUUUAUUAAAAACACAGCACUGUGCAAACACGAAAGUGGACGUAUACGGUGUGACGCCUGCCCGGUGCCGGAAGGUUAAUUGAUGGGGUCAGCGCAAGCGAAGCUCUUGAUCGAAGCCCCGGUAAACGGCGGCCGUAACUAUAACGGUCCUAAGGUAGCGAAAUUCCUUGUCGGGUAAGUUCCGACCUGCACGAAUGGCGUAAUGAUGGCCAGGCUGUCUCCACCCGAGACUCAGUGAAAUUGAACUCGCUGUGAAGAUGCAGUGUACCCGCGGCAAGACGGAAAGACCCCGUGAACCUUUACUAUAGCUUGACACUGAACAUUGAGCCUUGAUGUGUAGGAUAGGUGGGAGGCUUUGAAGUGUGGACGCCAGUCUGCAUGGAGCCGGCCUUGAAAUACCACCCUUUAAUGUUUGAUGUUCUAACGUUGACCCGUUAUCCGGGUUGCGGACAGUGUCUGGUGGGUAGUUUGACUGGGGCGGUCUCCUCCUAAAGAGUAACGGAGGAGCACGAAGGUUGGCUAAUCCUGGUCGGACAUCAGGAGGUUAGUGCAAUGGCAUAAGCCAGCUUGACUGCGAGCGUGACGGCGCGAGCAGGUGCGAAAGCAGGUCAUAGUGAUCCGGUGGUUCUGAAUGGAAGGGCCAUCGCUCAACGGAUAAAAGGUACUCCGGGGAUAACAGGCUGAUACCGCCCAAGAGUUCAUAUCGACGGCGGUGUUUGGCACCUCGAUGUCGGCUCAUCACAUCCUGGGGCUGAAGUAGGUCCCAAGGGUAUGGCUGUUCGCCAUUUAAAGUGGUACGCGAGCUGGGUUUAGAACGUCGUGAGACAGUUCGGUCCCUAUCUGCCGUGGGCGCUGGAGAACUGAGGGGGGCUGCUCCUAGUACGAGAGGACCGGAGUGGACGCAUCACUGGUGUUCGGGUUGUCAUGCCAAUGGCACUGCCCGGUAGCUAAAUGCGGAAGAGAUAAGUGCUGAAAGCAUCUAAGCACGAAACUUGCCCCGAGAUGAGUUCUCCCUGACUCCUUGAGAGUCCUGAAGGAACGUUGAAGACGACGACGUUGAUAGGCCGGGUGUGUAAGCGCAGCGAUGCGUUGAGCUAACCGGUACUAAUGAACCGUGAGGCUUAACCUUACAACGCCGAAGCUGUU